rnacentral:lncRNA from 1 species
UUUUUUUUUUUUCCCCUCUCGUUCCUGUUUCAUCAAAAUCACAUCAUAUUUAUUUCCUCUUUUUCCUUUCAAAUCUUUCUCUGUUCCAUGAAAAUCUAACCUUUACAGAAAAAAAAAAAAAAAAAAAUACACAUGGAUCUUUUUCUCUUUUCCUUUCCUUUCCUUUCCUUUCCUUUCAAACCCUGAAAUAAAAAGAGAGCUUACAACAUUUAGCAUUUCAAACUACAAAACUAAAUAAACAACACACAAACGCAUCCAAGUCAACCAGUACUAUAAAGGAGGCUAACUCGGAUUAAUAGAGAUACAUUAAAGGGAUGUGGUAACCGUUUGCAUGAUAAGAGAAGGGUGACUAGCAUGAGGCUGAGGAACUAAAGAAAGAGAGAGAGAGAGAAAAAGAGAGUAUGAAUAUUAAUAGAGAGAAAAAAAAAGUAUUAAUAUUGAGAUAAACUAAGAGAGAGAGUGUGUGUGUGUGUGUGUGAAUAUUGUAGCAUGAAAUUUUGACUUUUGCAUGCCAUAGAAACGAGAGAUAGAGAGAGAGUAUGAAUAUUAAUGAGAUCGAGAAACUAAGAGAGAGAGAGAGAGAGUAGAAUAUUGUAGCUAGAAAUAUUGACUUAAUUGACAUAGAAACAAGAGAGGGAGAGAGAGAGACUAUAUGAAUAUUAAAAUAGUGAUGAAUAUUGAUGAGAUUGAGAAAGAGAGAGAGAGAGAGGUAAUAAAAGGAUAGUUGAAAAUAGAGAAUAGAUGGAAGACAAUUGACUUUUAUUAAUUAAGAGUUACAGUGAAUAGAACUGUUAAGAGGAAAGAAGGGAAGAAAAAAAAAAAGGAUAGAGAAAAAAGGGAAGAGAAGAAAAAAGAAAGGGAAAGUAAAAGUGAAAAAAAAGCAAAUAAAAUGGAAGGAAAAGAAAUGAAAACUGACAUGAUGGGCUGAAAACGAAGCAAGUGUUAUAAAGUAUUGUGCGUAGAAGUUAAGGUAAUGUUAAUAGAGAUACACUUUUUGAUACACCACUGGUAAUAAUGUAUAGCUUCACUUUUGUAUCGUGUAUAACUGUGUGUGUCGCCAAAGUUGUUUUUUUUUGUUUUCCAUGUGUGUUUUGUUGCUGCGUCUGUUGUGUUUAUUUUGAAGUGUCGUAUGAGUGUUUGCCAUUGCUGUACGUUUGUCCGUGUUUUGCCAUCUGUCUUGUUUGCCAAUUCUUACUUUUUGACGUGUUUUUAUUGGUAUGUAAAAGAGUUGACAGUUUUUAGCAUUGCGAUCUUUUAAAACCCCUUCUGAAAGUGUUCUAAAUACUUUGUGAUACUUUUAACACAUCUGAAAGUGUUCUAAUUAAUUUGGUGUCCACUAAAAACCCAUUUCAAAGUGUUUUAAAUAGUUUGUGAUCCUUUUAAUCCAUUUCAAAGUGUCAUACAAACAUUGAUCUUGUAUAUUUCCUCUGAAUAUUCAAUUAUUUUAGUGUUUCGAGUUAUCAGUAUUACAGUCUUCUAAAUACCCCAUUUCAAAGUCUUCUAAAUAUCUUAUGAUCCUUUUAACACAUUUCAAAGAGUCCUACAAACAUUUAUCUCGUAAAUUUCCUCUGAAUAUUGAACGAUUUUAGUGUUAUUUCGAGUGUUUCAAGUUAUCAGUAUUACAAUCUUUUCAAACUCCAUUAUAAAGUGUUCUAAAUAACUCGUGAUCCUUUUAACAUAUUUCAAAGUGUCGUACAAACAUCUGUCCUGUGUAUUUCCUCUGAAUAUUGAAUGAUUUUAGUGUUAUUUCAAGUGUUUCAAGUUAUCAGUAUUACAAUCUUUUCAAACUCCAUUAUAAAGUGUUCUAAAUAGUUUAUGAUCUUUGUAACACAUUUCCAAGUGUCAUACAAACAUUUACCUUUCUUAUUCAUGCUGAAACUCAACUUUUUAGUGUUACUUGAAGUGUUACGAGUUAUUGUCAUCAUUACAAUCUCUUAACGUAUUUCAGUGUCAUAAACAGUUUGUAAUCUUAUAAAAACAAAAUUCAGACAAGUUUUUAGCAUUACUGGAAGUGUUACGAGUUAUUAUCAUCACUACAAUCUCUCUCAAUGCAUUUAAAAACCAUAAACAAGCUUGUAAUCUUAUAAAAACAAAAUUCGGAAAACUUUUUAGUGUUAUUGCAGUACGAGUUUUUUAUCAUUGCUAUCUCUCUCUCAAUGCAUUUCAGUGUCAUAAACAAGCUUGUAAUCUUCUAAAAACAAAAUUCAGACAAGUUUUUAGCGUUACUGGAAGUGUUACGAGUUAUUUUUAUCGUUGCAAUAUCUUACUGUGUUUCAAAGUGUCAUAAACAGUUCGUAAUCUGAUAAACACAAAAUUGAAAGUACGCCACUCAAUUACUGAUACAUUACGAUUGCCACUGUGUCCGAUUUUUGUGUGUGUUGUUUCUGUGUUACAAAAUAUUAGUGCAAUUUUUUUUUCUAUCUACAAACAAUUAUUACAUUAAACUUUGUCUCUUAUUUCAAAAUGUUAUCAAAUCUUGUAGCCUUAACCCCUUCAGUACUGGGACACAAUUUUACCAUGAGUUUGGGUGGAAUUAAACCAUUUUAUUGACAUUAGGAAGGAUCUUUGGAGGUCAGAAUAUUAAUGGUCAGUCUUCACUAUUCUAACUUUUAAAUUUCUCUCUCUCUCUCUCUCUCUCUCUCUCUCUCUCUCUCUCUCUCUCUCUCUCUCUAUCAAUUUAUUUCACACCUCUGUUUUAUUGAUCUCUUAUUUCUCCCUCUUUCUCUAUCACUUCUCUCUCUCUCUCUUUCAAUUUCCUUUUAUUUUAACAAGAUUAUAUCAAUACAUUUAUAAAACUUGUACAUUGAUAAUUUGGGUCACAAGCGAGUGGAUUUUACAAGCUCAAUACACGCGCCAAUUUAU